UAUUAUUUCUAUUUAAAUGUGGUGUGUUGUGAAUGAAAAUGUGAAUUGUUUUCUCUACUAUUGAACAUAUUGAGUUCAUAUAUUGUUGUUUUGGGUGUUAAUUCGGGGUUUAAGGAGAAAAAUUAACGGGUCAUAGUUCAUGAAAGGUUUUCCCACGCUCUCCGUCGCGCUCUUUCUGUUCGGAUUCCGUGGGAGAAGGCGCUGUGGAGCACUGAUCAGAAAAGGCCUGUUUUGACCACUAUUUUCUGCUGUUUGGAUGCAGGAGCAUUAAAAGUGCCUUCAGCUCA